GCGAAAUAAAGGAACUCGGAGACAAGAGUCAGUUCCUUGCAAGUGGCACACGGCAGACGCUGGGAAGGUGUCGAGGCACUGCCCGUCUCUCAGGUGCAGUGCCUUCAUUGUGGCGCUGGUGGAGACUUCUCUUGCCACUGCACAACAGGUGUAUGUUACAGUGACGCUCACUAUUUACACACACACCUGGAACAGGUGUUGUCUUCGCCGUCUGAAGUGUCGCACGGGUGUUAACAUUCCCUCCAUCAGUAUGACACGUGUGAACUUGCCUGUCUCUUAACCAGGAAGACACGAGCGUAAACCUCUUUUUAAGCAGAACAGCACAGGGGUUGACCUCUCUUUGUGCUGGAUAAAAGUGUUACUUCCCCUUGGCAAGGAUGGCACAGGUGUUCAUUUUUAAACCAGGUGUGUGGGCAGAGAGCAAGUGCGCCUGCAAGCACGGUGCGCGUGGAGGGCGCGCGAGGCUGACGGCGCGCGGGUCAGGGCUUCGUGCAGGAGCCGGAGGCACGGCUGCGGCUGUUGCGCUCGCGCCGCGGAGGAGAGCCUGUCGCGUGGCCAGAAUGAGAAAGUUCUUCAAGUGAGGAAGAACGAGAUCAGAAGGCAAAGCCAAAAGGCGGCGCAAACAAGAAUGAACUUCCCCGAAUUAUCUUUGUCUCACAAAAUAGGGAAGAGUCUUCUGGGUUUGUUUACUAAAUAAAAGAUUAUAACGUG